CAGCAGCACUUUGGUGAAGCCAUUUGAAUUUGCAUUUGCAUUAGUAUUGGAGUAGUGUAGUCGAGGCAAACUAUGCGAGGUGUGGAUGCAAUCGAGAAGCGAAUGACAUGCAAAUCAUCGACAUGUGAAUCAAUUUUCUUUUGUACAAUUGCUCAUGUUUUCCAAUGGUUCGCAAAUGUUGACAGUUUGGACUAGGUACUUGCCAUACAGUUGGCUUAACAAUCGAUUUAUUGCAAUAUUCAAGCCAUGGACGCCAUACGGCCAGAUUUUUUCGAAAAAGUAGACAAAAAUUGGACUGAUCGAAUGGACCAUGCAACUCGUUGCCACGGUGGACAUGUGCUGGAUAUCAUAUUCAGAAAAUAGUUCCCAUAAAAUUAUCUACCAGAUUGUAAUAAAUAAAUUCAUUCGAAAAAUAUUGCUUUUUUUGAUUAUCAUUUUAAGUUCUCAAGCUCUUAAAAAAACACCCGAUACAUAUGUACCAAUAUUUUCAGUCCAAUAGCAAAACAUUAUGCAGUACUUUGCCAGAUGCAAAAAGCUUACAGAAAGGGAAAUAGUUGAUUCAAGUGCCCAAAAGAGCUAAUGGUGACUACCCAAAAUGCGCUGAAGAAUCGGCUACUGCUUUAGCAGAGUAUUUUUGAGCGUGGCAUACUGGUAGUAGUUACAGAGUCUAAUCACUAGCAUUGACAUAAAAUAACAAACAAAUUUUCCUAACAGGCGCAGCCUCCAUCAUAGGAAAUCAUCGAGUCUAAUCACCAGUAUUGACAUAAAAUAACAAACAGAUUUUCCCAACAGGCGCAGCCUUCAUCAUAGGAAAUCAUCACUUAAAAAGGCUUAAGCAAUUUAGUGGCGGCAAUAAACCCGUAACUCCUUCAUUUGUGGAGCAAUAUUCAUAUAAGGCUAUAUAUCGCAAAUAGGAGUAGAAGCUUGACCUAAACACGUGCCAAGUGUGCAUGCGCUAGUCCAUGUAUAAAUAACAAGCGUCAUUUCACUUACUUUGUUUAAAAAAAAAAAUAUUUUUUCAUAUAAUUUUUUUUUUCAUUUGUUUUCACU